AUGUACUACCUUGUCGAUUCCGGUUAUCCAAACCGGGUGGGAUAUCUAGCUCCUUACAAAGGCCAGACCUAUCACCUUCCAGAAUUUCGGGCGGGACGCCCACCAACUGGAAAGUUAGAGGUGUAUAAUCAUGCUCACUCUUCUCUUCGGAAUGUGGUUGAGCGCACAUUUGGUGUUCUGAAGCAGAAAUGGCGCAUCCUACGGAAUGUGCUUGUAUGA
rnacentral:rRNA from 1 species